GGUCCUUCUUCACGAAAGUUCUCAGACCCUGAGCCACUUAACAGCCACAUACAACAAACCCUAACCCUAAGCUUCUCUCUCACCGAGCAUUGAAGAAAUCAUGUCUCACUUUGGGAGGUCCGGCCCUCCUGACAUCACUGACACCUACUCUCUUCUCGUCCUCAACAUCACCUUCCGUACAACUGCGGACGAUCUGUUUCCACUUUUUGACAAGUAUGGCAAGGUUGUUGAUAUAUUCAUCCCUAGAGAUCGAAGGUCUGGUGAUUCGCGAGGAUUUGCAUUUGUGCGCUACAAGUAUGCGGACGAAGCACAAAAGGCUGUGGAGAGGCUAGAUGGGAGAGUUGUUGAUGGUCGGGAGAUAGUAGUUCAAUUCGCCAAAUAUGGACCUAAUGCAGAGAAGAUUCAAAAAGGAAGGAUUGUUGAAUCAUUUCCUAGAUCAAAAUACAGUUCAAGAAGUCGCAGCCCUCGAAAAAGAUACCGAGAUGACUACAGGGACAGGGAUUACAGGAGGAGAAGUCGCAGCAGAAGCUAUGAUAGGCAUGAUCGUGACCGACAUCGUGGAAGGGUUGGGGAUGGUCGCCGCCGUAGCAGGAGUCGAAGUGCAAGCCCUGAUUACUCUAGGGGCCGCGGAAGAGGCCGGUAUGAUGAGGACCGACGUAGUGCUAGUCGGUCAAUGGAUAGUGCCUCCCCUGCUAGCCGUGAUCGAAGUCCUCUCAGGAGCCCUUCCCCUCGCAGGACUCAUCCUUCUAGGGAUGAGAGCCCUGAGAAACGCAGUCUCAAUGGACAUUCUCCCAAUCCUCAUAGUGCAUCUCCAAGACAUCGACCUGCUGUUUCCCGAAGCCCGUCUCCCCAGAAUUCUGAUGCUGAUGAGUAACUCUUGCGUGAUGCGGGGAGAUCGUGGAGGCAUGGUCAGCAAUAUGUACACAAAUGUUGGUAUUUGGCUAUUGUGGCUGUCGAUGCUGUUUGUAAAACAUAAUGCAUGAUCGUGACUGUGAUGCUGAUUAUAGGGGUGUGCUGAUUUCUCUGGAGAAUUGAUAACUAAUUUUCAUUUUCUGAUCUGAGUAUUGGGUAAGAUAUAGCCAACAACUUCUGAUUUCCUGGAAAAAAAUGUUGUCAUUCAGGUGUAUUAUAUUUAUCUGAUUAACUUGUGGUCUUUGUUGAUUCUGAAUAUGUCUGUCCUGAAAUAUUUUAGUUGUUGCUGUGAUGAUGUGAAUGGUGGACACAAGGUGUACGUGUCGCUUUGGCUGUAGCUAGGCCGCAUAUGUGGUGGGCCUGUGAUUCAGUAAAUUUGAUGCGGAUGCAUAAUAUGAAUUGUAAUAAUACUGAACUUCGCUGCUGCACUUAUCAAACAUGUGACAGUAGCUGUGACGUAGCAGCUGUUGCCUUUCUGUUGUGUGAAAUGUGGGUUCGUGGGUAUUUUGAAGUACCAUUGAAUAAGCACUUGUACCGGGCUGUUGCUGCCCUUGCCCCUUCGUGCUGGUGUCAGAUUGGAGAUUGUUCUAGCAAUUUUGGUAACUGAUGAUGACUCUGUAGCUGUGUUACUGGCUUGCGGUCAAAUAAAAAGAACUGAUUUGAUGUGUACGGUUGCUGUGCAAAUUUAAGCUGCUGAGGAUAUCUAGUGCUCUUUUCUACUGUCAGAAGUCGUCAUGAGGGUUUGCAUACAAACACAAUAUAAAGAAGUUUUCUGUCAUUUCUUUCCUCUUUGGCAUGUUCACGUGAUGAUUAUACUAGCUUGUUUUAAGUAGAUAUACUCUUGCUUUUUCAGGUUUAGCAAAUAGAAUCGUUUUAUUUUAUUUUGAUUAGUCUCAUUUUUCUAGUGGCAGGGUAGGUAGUAUUGUAGGUUUGUCCACUUUGGUCCUCCAGUUCUGGGAGCCUUUAUGGUGUGAUUCUCUAUAAAUCUUGGAUUGUGGGUUACUUUAAUUAUCAUGAAUAACACUGGUACAUCCUCAUUUUCUUUUUUUAAAUAGAAUUCACCGGUACAUCCUUGUUUGCAUGGAGUGUGGGAAAGGUGUUUAUUGUUGAUGUAUUUUGCUUGCUUAAUUUCUCUGAUUAUUUAUAUUCUCUGUUUUCCCAUAUCCCUGCAUAUGGGGGUUAGCUAGGAGAUUGUUUGUCAUCCUAGUGGGUGAUCCCUUGCAUCUUCGGUUUUGUUAAUAGAGUUGGUUCUUCCCUGAAUGUGGUGUCAAAACAGUUGAGAAGCGAGAACUGAUCUUUUUGUGUGCUCUCUGUUACCUCUUGUGAAAAACUUGCACUUGUCAGUGUUUGACUUCCCUGUUCUCUUUCAUCCAUCUUCAGUUUUCCAUGACUAGCAAAAUGCCCGUAACCUUAAAACAUGCACUGGCGACCUUUUUUGAGUUAGGAGUGAUGUAUGCACCCCCUGUAGUUAAGACCUAUGGCAUUGUUUGACUUUGUAUGUGAUGGAUCAUGGAUCUUUUUGUGGCUUGAGCUAUUGAAGCUAACAUUGGCAAAGGGCUGUGCUGUGCGAAAUGCGUCGGUUUUUUUUUUUUUAAACGUAUCUUGUUUGCCACUAUUUUGAUUUGUAAAUGAAAUAGAAUUAUUUAGAAUAGUUGUUUACUCAAUUGCUUUGGGAUUCUUCCCGUUUCUGAUAUUGAUGCUCUUAACUGCUUCAUACUGUUAUGUAUCAUUGCUUUUAUUAAAAUUCCAAUGGUUCCUCAUCAAACCUUUCACUAGGAGUGACUGGCUUUUAUUAGAACUAUUAUUCACCAUCGAUGAGGUGCUUCCCUUCUGCAGUCAGAGUCUAUGUAAUUUGAAGAAAGAAAAAAAAGGGAGACGAUUAUGCAGAAAAACGAAGUGGAAAUGGAAAGCUAUUGAAUGUGUUUCUACUCAUCAGUAGCUGAGGAGGCUAACAUUGUGCUUGAAGAAAGGACAAACUAUUAGAACAUUGUGAGUUCGGGAGUGAUUCGUUGAUUCUGAAACUUAAAAGACUGGAGUCGUCCUGGAAAAUUUAUUUUAUAUAACAUGAUAGAGAAUGAUGUCCCAACUCCCAAGUUUCUGAUAUAUUUCCGCUUGAUGACUAAUAUGGUAACACAUACUGUAAACUUGAUGCUAGUGCUGUAAACCGUUACGGUUACCAUUUGGGGCAAGUGAAAUGAGGUAUCGAGCAUUGCUGCGUUGAGCUACAACAAAGGCUCUAGAUGAACAGGAAAGAUAAAAUUGUUCUAAGAACAAUAAAAGCAGGAGCUCCUUGCUCCCGUGCAAACUGUACCUAUGCUUCUGCUUCAUGAUGGUUACUAGCCCAAGAAACCUGAACUGUAAAAGCAGCUUAGCCACCAAACUGAAGUAGAUGAACUUUGUUGGUAAAUGAAGAACACACAGACUUAUGUAUUUGGCAAAACCGUCCGACAGAUUAUCAAAUGUACAUCAAAACCACAUCUUGUUCAGGUUCACCAUCUCAACCGCAAUAGCAUCUGCAUUCGAGAUGUUUAAAGAUUCAUUUGCGGAUUUACAAGGUAAAGACAUGCUCACAUGCCAGAAGCAAUUUGCUUGGUCUCACAUGAGGUUUGUAUGCUGACUCAUAGAUUCUGUUUUUGGCAAAAAGAAGCAUUCAUUGUGGUUGAUUGAAAUCAUCAAAAUUUAAAUGCAGGAGAUAUUAGAAUUGUUAUAUUUGGCAAGAUUUACAAGAUGAUGAUCUCAUUGGUCAUUACCCCCAUUUUCUGACAAUAAAUAUUUCCUGCAAGGAUCCUUUUUCUAAAUACAAACAAAUUUCCAUAUGUAUACGUUUUUUGGAAUUGAAAUUAAUGUCAAAUGGAUGAUAACCCAUCUGUUCAAGUAGAUUUGGAAGUUUAAGUUGAUGGUAUGCGACUGGAGCAAACUUCACCCACCUCCAAGACAAGAAGAAGAUCAUAAACCAAUCUAUGAAGAGGAGAGACCAGUUUUUUGCUCAGAUGAUGAAAUGAAGCAUGAAGAAUGAGAGAUCAAAAGGGAUUCUCACCUACAGAUUGAGAAAUUCAAUAAUUAUUCUUUGUCAUCUUUCUAUGCCAACCUAUUAUACAACAUGAGCAAGGAAAAGAGCUCCGACACAUCGUUCGCGAAGGGUAAGAGAAAUUCAAGUGGCAAAGCUUCUAAUACGUGUUGCAAUAUCAUUACUUGUGGUGCUGUAGAUACAAUUGAUAGUGUAUUGAUGUCUACCAAAAAAGAUAAUAAAGCAUCGUCCAAGUCCAAUUGGUCUACCAUAAACAACAACAAUGGUAGCAGCAGCAGGGGCUUGAAUCAACAGAGACAAAAGAGUUCUCGAAGUUUUGAAUCAGAGAAACAACAGCAGAAGGGAUUGGGGGAGUCAAAAGUGGUUUCUGCUGCCUACAAGCCAGUGGGCGGACCAACUUGCUCGCAAUGCGGGAAAAUAUUCAAGCCUGAGAAAAUGCAUUCACACAUGAAGUCCUGCAGGGGAAUGAAAGCAUUGGCAAAGACUACUGCAGCGACAAAAUGAUUCCUGAUAUUUCCUUGCCAACUGAAAAUAAUGUUUCAGAAGAUAUUGUGGUUUUUCUAUGUUAUUAAGGAAAAGAUUUUGGUAUUUGAUAUUUCAACCAGAGACCCAAUUAUGAGAAGCUGAGAGUAGUUUUUCUGAUAAACUAUAUGCUUAAGUUUAAAUCACUUCCUCAGUUCCUCUAGAACAAUUCUCCAAGAAUUUAUUAUGGAAAUGUUAAAGGCAGCUUUGAGA